rnacentral:rRNA from 1 species
AUGCACAUAGUUUUGUAUUUCCAGUUGCCUACGGUGUGCUGGAAACAGAAUCCGAGGAGAGCUGGACUUGGUUUUUUGCAUAAUCUGCGCCGGGCUAUUGCACAUCCCAAUGGGUUGGUCAUUCAUAUAGAUGCCUGCAAAGGUUUAGAAGUGGCCGUGGACAAUGUGUUCCCUGGAGUAGAGCAUUGGGAAUGGAUGCGUCACCUUGCUGCAAAUUUCAUGAAGAAAUUCAAAGGAAAGUUGUAUACCGACAAUUUAUGGCCAGCAUCUUUGACUUGCAGUGUGAAGAAGCACAACUACCACUUGAGGCAGUUAUACAUGAAUCCCAAAGUGAAAGAAUACUUGGAAACACACCACUCCAAGUUAUGGGCUAGAAGCCUAUUCAGUGAACUGAGCAAAGUUGACUACGUGCACAAUAAUCUAGCAGAGUCUUUCAACUCAACGAUCUAG